rfam:Camelus ferus unplaced genomic scaffold scaffold632, whole genome shotgun sequence.
GAGGGUAUAGUGCAAAUGGUAGAGCACAUGCUUAGCAUGCAGGAGGUCCUGGGUUCAAUCCCAGGUACCUCCU